GUUUACUCUGCACUAACCAGUGAGACCAUAUCAGAUCGUAGAAGAGAAGAAAGUGCAUUUGUUAAUGGAGCCUCUAAGAGGGAUAGGAAUCCAAUCUUUCUGUGCAUGGUGAGGGUCCAGGAGCCAGGAAGAACGUCAGAGAAGAGAUUAAUAAUGAAAACAUCUUGGAGGAACUGACCAGGCAAAGGAGUGACUUCUACUCUGCUGUGCAGUUUCUCCAUACUGUCUUCAAGCACCCUCACAACAGGAAGAGCCAGGAGAGAUGGAU
rnacentral:lncRNA from 1 species